GCCAGGCGUGGUGGCGCACGCCUGUAGUCCCAGCUACUCGGUGGCUGAGGCAGGAGAAUCUCUUGAACCCAGGAGAUGGGGGUUGCAGUGAGCCAAAAUCAUGCCACUGCACUCCAGCCUGGGCAACAGAGCAAGACUCUGUCUCAA
rnacentral:SRP_RNA from 1 species